rnacentral:rRNA from 1 species
GAUGAACGCUGGCGGCGUGCCUAAUACAUGCAAGUCGAGCGAACAGACGAGGAGCUUGCUCCUCUGACGUUAGCGGCGGACGGGUGAGUAACACGUGGAUAACCUACCUAUAAGACUGGGAUAACUUCGGGAAACCGGAGCUAAUACCGGAUAAUAUAUUGAACCGCAUGGUUCAAUAGUGAAAGACGGUUUUGCUGUCACUUAUAGAUGGAUCCGCGCCGCAUUAGCUAGUUGGUAGGGUAACGGCUUACCACGGCGACGAUGCGUAGCCGACCUGGGAGGUGGAUCGGCCACACGGGAGCUGAGACAGGGUCCAGAGUCCUACGGGAGGCAGCAGUAGGGAAUCGUCCGCAGUGGGCGGAAGCUUGACGGAGCAACGCCGCGUGAGUGAUGAAGGUCUUCGGAUCGUAAAACUCUGUUAUUAGGUAAGAACAAAUGUGGAAGUAACUAUGCACGUCUUGACGGUACCUAAUCAGAAAGCCACGGCUAACUACGUG